GUCGAAUCUAUUGACCGUCGAGCCCGUGCAUUACCGUGCACGGGGGAGGGCGGCGAAAAGAGGAAGCU
rfam:Hydrogenophaga sp. PBC, complete genome.